GGUAAAGUGGCUGAGUAAAGCGGUGGAUUGUAGCCCCAUAGACAGAGGUUUAAGCCCUCUCUUUACCA
rnacentral:tRNA from 1 species